rnacentral:rRNA from 1 species
GUCGAGCGGCAGCACGGGUACUUGUACCUGGUGGCGAGCGGCGGACGGGUGAGUAAUGCCUAGGAAUCUGCCUGGUAGUGGGGGAUAACGCUCGGAAACGGACGCUAAUACCGCAUACGUCCUACGGGAGAAAGCAGGGGACCUUCGGGCCUUGCGCUAUCAGAUGAGCCUAGGUCGGAUUAGCUAGUUGGUGAGGUAAUGGCUCACCAAGGCGACGAUCCGUAACUGGUCUGAGAGGAUGAUCAGUCACACUGGAACUGAGACACGGUCCAGACUCCUACGGGAGGCAGCAGUGGGGAAUAUUGGACAAUGGGCGAAAGCCUGAUCCAGCCAUGCCGCGUGUGUGAAGAAGGUCUUCGGAUUGUAAAGCACUUUAAGUUGGGAGGAAGGGCAUUAACCUAAUACGUUAGUGUUUUGACGUUACCGACAGAAUAAGCACCGGCUAACUCUGUGCCAGCAGCCGCGGUAAUACAGAGGGUGCAAGCGUUAAUCGGAAUUACUGGGCGUAAAGCGCGCGUAGGUGGUUCGUUAAGUUGGAUGUGAAAUCCCCGGGCUCAACCUGGGAACUGCAUUCAAAACUGUCGAGCUAGAGUAUGGUAGAGGGUGGUGGAAUUUCCUGUGUAGCGGUGAAAUGCGUAGAUAUAGGAAGGAACACCAGUGGCGAAGGCGACCACCUGGACUGAUACUGACACUGAGGUGCGAA